rnacentral:misc_RNA from 1 species
GAUGAAGAACGUAGCGAAAUGCGAUAAGUAAUGUGAAUUGCAGAAUUCAGUGAAUCAUCGAAUCUUUGAACGCACCUUGCGCUCCUUGGUAUUCCGAGGAGCAUGCCUGUUUGAGUGUCAUGAAAUUCUCAACCUUUUCAGCUUUCUUUGUUGAUCAGGCUUGGAUGUGGGAGUACGCGGGCUUCUCAGAAGUCGGCUCUCCUGAAAUGCAUUAGCGGGACCUUUGUUGCCUGGCUUUGGUGUGAUAAUUAUCUACGCCAUUGUAGUCAAGCAGCUUAAAAUGAGGUUUCAGCUUCUAACCGUCUCCCCUGAGACAACUUUUUGACAAUUUGACCUCAAAUCAGGUAGGACUACCCGCUGAACUUAAGCAUAUCAAUAAGCGGAGGA